rnacentral:rRNA from 1 species
UACGUAGGGGGCUAGCGUUGUCCGGAAUCAUUGGGCGUAAAGCGCGUGUAGGCGGUCCGGUAAGUCCGCUGUGAAAGUCGGGGGCUCAACCCUCGAAUGCCGGUGGAUACUGUCGGGCUAGAGUGCGGAAGAGGCGAGUGGAAUUCCUGGUGUAGCGGUGGAAUGCGCAGAUAUCAGGAAGAACACCAACGGCGAAGGCAGCUCGCUGGGACGGUACUGACGCUGAGACGCGAAAGCGUGGGAGCGAACAGG